UCCAUCCGAGGAUGCUUUAUACGCCGUCUCUCGGUUGUUAAUAACCGGUCCGGUCCGGUCCGGUAUUGUGAAUUAAGAAAAACAAAUGAGUAAACCAAGAGUUUCUUCUUCUUCUUCUUCUUCUUCUAUCACACAAACAAUCUGUAGAUCUUCUCUCUCAGAUUAUGGCAUGAUUCGAAUUAGGAGCGGCUCUUUUCAAACUGAAUGAAGAGUGAUUCCCACCAAUUCAAACGCUCAAUCUAAAGGUCAGAGCUCUGUGAAUUGUUUGAGUUAGUAAUGGAUAUUUCUAUUGCGGGACAGAUGAUGAUGAUGCCUUCUUCUUCUCUCCCACUAGACUGCUUUGCUUGCUUAUUCCAACACUGACGUGACUGCUUUCUUUUUCCCAUUCCCGUUGCCUACAACCCUGAUAAAGGUUCUCCUUCCCACUUCAAUAACCCCUCAUUCUAUUCUCACCACCAAUCUUACCUACAUUACAGAGGAGGGUGAUGAUCAUCAUUCCUCCACCUCUCCUUUUCCUCUCUUCUCUUUAGCGCCAACAUUACCUGCUCUCAACGACAUGAAAGCUUUUCUCUCUCUCUCAAACCUGUCAGUCAUGAAGGUGGAUAAAGAUUUCGUAAACAAAUGUAAAUUUGUGGUUGCCACUGGGAUUUUCGAUGCAUAUGAUCAACCCCACCAGCCAUCUAACAUUAGCCAAGAACCUCUUCUGUUUCCUUCUGGUGGUUGACGAGCUCUCUCUCCAUUUCUUAACAUCAAACACUACUUUGACUGUGAGCCAAGAUGUUCAUAGGAGGCCAAUGGGUCGGCAUUUGGCGUCUUAUUCUACUCAAAACUCCUCCUUAUGAUGAACCUAGGCUAGGAGGAACGGCAAAGUCCCCAAAAUCUUAAUUACUACUGUUAUUGAGGGAGCGGUGAUAAUAAGAGAACACACUGCAAUGAACAAUCUCUUCAGCUGCCUGUGGUUCAACGAGGUACACCUGCUAACACCCAGGGACCAGCUUAGCUUUGGGUACGUAGUGGACAGACUAAAAUGAGCCUUCAAGGUGUUCAUGUUUCACAACUGUGAUGUGAAUACAACUCUCUCUUUCAACUGCACCCUCACAUCCGACAACAUUCCUCUAAGAUCGAGUGGGUCAAGAGUGUCAAGGAACUCAAAGGGAAAGGUGUUGGGAAAAUUAUCCAAUAUC